AUACGGAGGGUGCAAGCGUUGUCCGGAUUUAUUGGGUUUAAAGGGUGCGUAGGCGGUAUAAUAAGUCAGAGUUAAAAUAUGGUGGCUCAACUAUCAUAGGUGCUUUGAUACUGUUAUGCUUGGAUAUAGGCGAGGCUAAUGGAAUGGGUGGUGUAGCGGUGAAAUGCAUAGAUACCAUCCGGAACGCCGAUAGAGAAGUCAGUUAGCUGGUCUAUUAUUGACGCUGAGGCACG
rnacentral:rRNA from 1 species